rnacentral:lncRNA from 1 species
UUUUUUUUUCCUAUUCAUAAAACUACAAUAUUUUUUUACGUGAAAUACAUAUCCAAACAUAACUUAAAAUUUCAAAUAUCAUUUUUAACUUAAUUUCAAAUACAACUUCUUUUUCAAAAAAUAUAUAGUACUAUACACAAAAAGCCCAGAAGGGGCGUUUAGUUGACUAGGGCACACCACUUAUAUAAAUGCAUAAACAAAAACAAACAUUACCUUCGACUUUUCUCUCUCUACGCCAGCCAGGUGUUUAGCGUUUCGAGGAGGAGGAGAAGAAAUUAAAGCACUUCUCCUUUGAAUCAAAUCGAGAGAUUGCUAACCCCCUUUUUUGCUCGUAGAUCCAUCGAUCAAUCCGUCCUCAAUCAUCGGACUUUGAUUUAGGCUCUUCGGGUCGGAGGAAUCGAAUCGGAUCAGAAGGAUGUUCUUGGUAGAUUGGUUCUACGGAAUUC